rnacentral:rRNA from 1 species
UACGAGGGGGGCAAGCGUUGUUCGGAAUUAUUGGGCGUAAAGGGUGCGUAGGCGGUCUGAUAAGUCAUCUGUGAAAUCUAUGGGCUCAACCCAUAGUCUGCAGGCGAAACUGUCGGGCUUGAGUAUGGGAGAGGUGAGUGGAAUUUCCAGUGUAGCGGUGAAAUGCGUAGAUAUCGGAAGGAACACCUGUGGCGAAAGCGGCUCACUGGACCAUUACUGACGCUGAUGCACGAAAGCUAGGGGAGCGAACGGG